CGUUAUUUCGCAUGUCGUUGGGGUUGAGGAGGAACUCGCGAAUUUCUAAGGCUUUUUGUAGAUAAAAUUUAUAGUUGGUAUUGGAGUUUCAGAGUAUUAUUACUACUAGAGCUUGAAAAAAAAAACAUGUAGGGCUUUAAGAAUGGCAAUUUUUGGUGGGGCUUGAGAGUUUCCGGCACUAUAGGGGUGUUUGCCAAUCAGCGUUAAGCUUCCAGCUGCUUCUAUAUAAUAUUGAGGCAUGCCACUCACAUGUGUGUUGUCUGUCACCUGCCAACAUGGCAUGAAAGACAGUUAGUUGGUCGUCUUCGAUGAAGUCACCAUGAAGACGCUGUCGUCGAUACCAUCCAGAAAAACGGUAUAACCGACAACAACGAUUAUUUCUUGGCUCAGGAUUCAAAUCUUCCGUUCGUUAUUCUCCACAGCUCCCUCUAUGAUAUAUUUUACUAUAUGGCCUGGCACGCGAACGUGAAGGAGCGCUCAUGUACUUUGACUUGCUUCCAUUUUUGCAUUCAAAUCGGUUCAUCAGCUACUCUACCAGCAGAAAAUGACUCCAAAGUUAUUUACUUCUUUUCUGUAGUUUCAUUACGCUACCAACAAAAAUGACACGGAAUUUUUAUCAGCUACAUUACUUGCAGAAAAUGUUAUUGAAGGCUUGCUGAAUUCCUGACUUCUGCUUAUACGAUGCCUUACCUGAAGCGGUCCAGGUUUAUAAUAGGAUGGGUGUAUAUCAGCAUUUGUACUAACGCUGUCUGUUAAACACGCCACUGCCGACAAGGAAUUUUCUCUGAAAUGAAUGAUUCUGGUAUUGAGACGUGCAGGUGCAACAAACACAGUAGCUGAAAUGCUAUUGUACUCUCUUCUUACUGAAAACUCAUAAUCAGCUAGUAAAUAAUAUGAAUGAAACUGUUAUCAGUCUUAUUGUGACAUAAUUUUGUUAAUGGAGAUUGAACAACACACGCGACUUUUCUAUCUAUGGUAGAAGUAUGUGAGAACACUAAUUUUAUUUACUUAUCUAUAACAGAUACUGUAGCAGAUAAAUGCAAAAUUCACAUUCCAGGUAUAUAUAUAUAUAUAUAAUAUUGUAUUAAAUAACUUUUUUUUUGUAACAUGACUAUACAAGAUGCUUUUAUUUUUAUCUGUAACACUAUUAGGUAAACUUUUGCUUUAUUCAUUUAAUUUUUUCUAGCUUCAUAAUUAAGAAAAAGUUUGCCAUUUCGAAUCUUGUGAUUUGACCGGAAAUAGAUGACAAUGGGAUUUGGGUGCUCGUGUAAUUUAGAGGCAAUUCUAUUUUUUGAUGGUAUAUAAAAAAAAUCUGUUUAAAAUACAAUGAACGGCUUUUGGAAAAACAACAGUAGGAUAUUUUGUGUGCUGGAUAAGCUUUGUAAUAUUUUUGUUAACUUUUACGUUUGUUUCCAAGACAUCAUAUAUUUUUCUGUUCAACUCGAUAACUGUUCUCCAAAUAACGUUUUGUCACCCUGAACUGGUAAAUCGUUGCACUGAAAAAUGUGUUCUGCAAGUAACGUUUUGUCAAACUAAACUGGUAAAUCGUUUCGCUGAACAAUGUGUUCUGCAAGUAACGUUUUGUCAAACUAAACUGGUAAAUCGU